rnacentral:lncRNA from 1 species
AUUAUCAUUGUUUGAAAGUUGUUGAAAGUGAAAAUAAACCUUAAAGUCAAAAUGAUGAAGGAGCUUCGCAUAAAGGACAUCCUCACUGGCCUCUUCACUUCGGCGCUGUGCUUUGGACUCUCUAUGGCUUCGUAUCCCGACAGUGUAAAUGUAGCUUCACGCUCGUCUGGACUGCAGGGCUGUCGGGCGACUACCACUUCCGUGCGCUUCAGGACCCUGACGAUGCGAGGCCCGAAAUCG